CCAGUGUUCUCUUUUGCCAGCCAGGGCUGUUUUGGAAGGAACCCUAAACUGAAUUCUGAAAUCAAAUAACAUUUUCUACUUGAAAUGCAGCAUAAUUGCUAUCAGUAUAUGCAGGAGUAACAGAAAACAGGCAAAUAUAAUCAUUUUGGGCCCUCAAAGUCAGGUAGUAAUAGGUAAAGAAAUAACAGCUUCUAUCUUCUCUCUCCUGUGAUUGCUUUUAAUCUCAAAUAUAAUUGCUUUCUCCCCAAAUUUCUCACAAUGUUACAUUACAAGCAUGAAUUUAGUUCUAUUUUUAUAAGCCAUAUUAUUCUGUUGAGAUCAUGACAGAAACAUGUCCUGGCCUCACACUAUAACAAAUGAAUACCAUCAUAACAGAAGAGCCAGUGCGUCAUUUUCAGCCACAGUGGUUAGUAGAGUCUCACCCUGGCAGGAAAGGAAAGACAAAACUUUUGGUGAAGUCACCAGCUUCCCUAACUUCUUCAUGGACUUUAAACAGUCAGACACCACAGUGACGGGACCUCAACAGAAACCAUGUGGUCUGCAAACAGUGAGUAGGAUGGAAAAAGUUUUUUGCCCCAUCACAAAUAUUUAAGCAGGACGGGAACUCUGCCUUAAUUUCUGCAGUACCGUGCAGUACCUAACAUCAAAGAGCUGACAUUUUCAUCAGUGUGAAAACUCCUGCAAUGCUGCACAUAACUCUGCAGUUUGCAAGCUUCUCAGCUACCCUUUCUGCUUGCCUUGCAGAGGAAAUGUGGCUGCAGCUUCAUCUCCAAGUGCAAAAACAGUGAUAGCAAAAGAAAGCUGAAGGCAAAAUUAGCUGUGGUUUGUGGUAUUUCUUCUGCUUCCAUUUUCUGCCCUCCAAUCCUACCCAUGUCACACACUUAAACCCAUUUACUUUAGAGAGCAAGCUUUGGGCAUAUAUACUUGUUCACCUGUGAUUUCAGUCCUCCUCCCCUCAACACCCCCCACCCCCACAAUGAAUCAAUCACCAAGUCUACUUUAAUCACAGAUAAGAUGCUCUCCUGGUACUAAUCAUCGUAGCUUCUUUGAUUUUAAAGGAGCUAUGCUUUUUUUUUUUUUUUCUUUUGUGAGAAAAGGAACUAGCUGGGGUUAAGGUUCUAUGCUUAGAAAAGACAUUCCUUUUUUCUUAUAAUAACUCACAUAGAUAAUUCUAUACCCUCACUUCCUCUGUGUUAUGUCAAUUGUCAUCCCACUCUGCUGGAUUUUGCUCAUGCAAAAUAAAUACAAGCUGGAUUCUUGAAUAUCA
rnacentral:lncRNA from 1 species